UAAUGCUUGGGAAUCUAGCUUAUGGAGGGGGAUAACUAUGGGAAACUGUAGCUAAUACCGCGUAGAAUCGGAAGAUGAAAGUGCGGGACCGCAAGGCCGCAUGCCAUGAGAUGAGCCCAAGCGGGAUUAGGUAGUUGGUGGGGUAAAGGCCUACCAAGCCUGCGAUCUCUAGCUGGUCUGAGAGGAUGGCCAGCCACACUGGAACUGAGACACGGUCCAG
rnacentral:rRNA from 1 species